rnacentral:rRNA from 1 species
GUAGGGAAUCUUCCGCAAUGGACGAAAGUCUGACGGAGCAACGCCGCGUGAACGAAGAAGGCCUUCGGGUCGUAAAGUUCUGUUGUUAGGGAAGAACAAGUACCAGAGUAACUGCUGGUACCUUGACGGUACCUAACCAGAAAGCCACGGCUAACUACGUGCCAGCAGCCGCGGUAAUACGUAGGUGGCAAGCGUUGUCCGGAAUUAUUGGGCGUAAAGCGCGCGCAGGUGGUUCCUUAAGUCUGAUGUGAAAGCCCACGGCUCAACCGUGGAGGGUCAUUGGAAACUGGGGAACUUGAGUGCAGAAGAGGAAAGUGGAAUUCCAAGUGUAGCGGUGAAAUGCGUAGAGAUUUGGAGGAACACCAGUGGCGAAGGCGACUUUCUGGUCUGUAACUGACACUGAGGCGCGAAAGCGUGGGGAGCAAACAGGAUUAGAUACCCUUGUAGUCC